CACUGUUUGGGGGUACAGAAGGCCUGGAGGAGUAUGUGCUUAUGUCCACACCCUAUGUUCCUCUAAUCAACAGUUUGGGAAGAGGGUGUUGUCUGUCCCAAUUCUAGCCACAGCCGUUUUGUGUGUGUGUGUGUACGUGUGUGUGUGUAUCCACGUAUAAGUGUGUCUGUGCUCAUACGUGUGUCCCUGAACCAAACAACUGACUUCUCUCAGGCCCACCAGCAUGGGCCUCUUGUCAUUCGCUUGUCUAAUGUUGUCUUGUUAUGAAAGAUGUCACCCGGGGGAGGGCAAAGGGAGGGGUGUUUCCCCCUUUUCUCACAGCUUCCAGGAAAGGAUACAGGGUAGCCUGUGGGGAUGUGGCUCCUGGCUGAGCCUCACCCCAGGAGUGUCGUACAGGACCCCCCGAGUCGUUGGGAGAGGGGGGGCUGUUGCCAUGGUGGCCUGUGUGCAGCGAAUUCCUCCAGGGUGAAGUGGGAGAUAUUUAUACCCAGGGUCAGGGAGAGAGCGGGCAGGCAGCCGAAGGCAGGAGAGCCGGGACUGUCUGGGUACAGAGACCACUGGUUGAGGUGUGUUGGGGCAGGUGGGGCUGGGCGUGUCCUUCUGUCUGUCUCAGCACUUCCACCUGUGUCCAGAGGCAGCUUGCUUCCCUUACAAGGGGCAAUGGCAUCUCCCGGCCACAUCCUGGCUCUCUGCGUGUGUUUCCUCACCACGGCCAGUGCAGAAGGUCCACAGGAACCCGAUCCAUUCACCUACGAUUACCACACCCUGAGGAUCGGCGGCCUCACCAUCGCUGGGAUCCUUUUCAUCCUGGGCAUCCUUAUCAUCCUUAGCAAGAGAUGUCGGUGCAAAUUCAACCAACAGCAGAGAACUGGGGAACCCGACGAAGAGGAGGGAACUUUCCGCAGCUCCAUCCGCCGUCUGUCCACCCGCAGGCGGUAGACCUUCCACCUGUCUCCAGGAAACUCAGCCAGGACCCCCUUGACAUCUGACGCCUCUCCCCACCCAGCUGCUCGCCUGUGGCCACCUCCAGCGUCCCUUGCCUCAGCCCUGCCUCUCGGACACCCCUUACUGCUAAGACCUCCAAUAAAACUCGGUUUUCCCUCUUGAUAGCGCUUGGUUGAUUUCAGUGCCUCUUGCGCGAAAACCCGGGAGCCCCCUUGGCCCCGGCAGGGGGCGCCCCCACCCUUGGGGAAGGGGCGGGGACGUCAGCAGUGGGCGGGGGCGGGGGCGGGGGUAUGGCCUGGACGGGGGCGGGCUCUUCGGGCCCCCAUUGGCUACAGGCCCCCCCGCCCUACCAGGGCUCCCCCACUUUACCCCCCCACAUCAGUCUGUCCUGCUUCCAGCUGCUGCAGCCGCGCCUUCGCUGCCUCAGCUGCCUCAGCGUUCAGCAGCCCCCUGCUCGGGCUCAGCAUGGCCACCCCAACCCAGAGCCCCACAAACGUUCCCGAAGAAACAGACCCGUUUUUCUAUGCACCUGGAGGUGGCGGCGUGUAGGACCCUCUACAGAUCUCCACUGCUGUCCCUGGCCGGAGCGCAGGAGCCCGAGAACCGGGUGAAGGCGGUGGGGACCCAGCCUGGCGCCGGGGAGUGUGCCCCCAAUGAGCCGCCACACCCAUCCCAAGGCCGGAGCCACUGCACCACCCCGCUGUCCCUCCCCAGGCCUUGGCAACGACGAUCCCCCAAAGAGCCCAUUUGCACCCCAGACCCAGAGACUCAGGCCUCCAGCUCCUGGGAUCCAGGAGUCCGUCCCCAGUCCCCUGGGAUCCUCGUAUCCCUCCCUCCUGCAUCUCCUGGUCACCUUCUCCAGGACCCUCCCGGCUGUCCCCUCAGGGUCCAUGUCUUGAGCUUAAUAAAUGUGCAUUCAUUUUUUUCCUCCC